rnacentral:rRNA from 1 species
UACGAAGGGGGCUAGCGUUGCUCGGAAUCACUGGGCGUAAAGCGCACGUAGGCGGCUUUUCUAAGUCAGGGUGAAAUCCUGGAGCUCAACUCCAGAACUGCCUUUUGAUACUGGAGAGCUUGAGUCCGGAAGAGGUGAGUGGAACUCCGAGUGUAGAGGUGAAAUGCGCAGAUAUCGGGAGGAACACCAAUGGCGAAGGCAGCUCGCUGGGACGGUACUGACGCUGAGACGCGAAAGCGUGGGAGCAACAGG